UACGCACAGGCUGGGUGGUGUGAAU
rnacentral:piRNA from 1 species